AGAGUUUGAUCCUGGCUCAGAUUGAACGCUGGCGGCAUGCCUUACACAUGCAAGUCGAACGGUAACGCGGGGGCAACCCUGGCGACGAGUGGCGAACGGGUGAGUAAUACAUCGGAACAUAUCCAGUAGCGGGGGAUAACCUAUCGAAAGAUGGACUAAUACCGCAUACGAUCUACGGAUGAAAGCAGGGGACCGCAAGGCCUUGCACUAUUGGAGUGGCCGAUGUCGGAUUAGCUAGUUGGUGGGGUAAAAGCUACCAAGGCGACGAUCCGUAGCUGGUCUGAGAGGACGAUCAGCCACACUGGAACUGAGACACGGUCCAGACUCCUACGGGAGGCAGCAGUGGGGAAUUUUGGACAAUGGGCGCAAGCCUGAUCCAGCCAUGCCGCGUGAGUGAAGAAGGCCUUCGGGUUGUAAAGCUCUUUCGGUGAAGACGAAACGGUUCAUGCUAAUAACGUGAACUAAUGACGGUACUCACAGAAGAAGCACCGGCUAACUACGUGCCAGCAGCCGCGGUAAUACGUAGGGUGCAGGCGUUAAUCGGAAUUACUGGGCGUAAAGCGUGCGCAGGCGGUUUGCUAAGACAGGUGUGAAAUCCCCGGGCUUAACCUGGGAAUUGCGCUUGUAACUGGCAAGCUAGAGUGUGGCAGAGGGGGGUGGAAUUCCACGUGUAGCAGUGAAAUGCGUAGAUAUGUGGAGGAACACCGAUGGCGAAGGCAGCCCCCUGGGUUAACACUGACGCUCAUGCACGAAAGCGUGGGGAGCAAACAGGAUUAGAUACCCUGGUAGUCCACGCCCUAAACUAUGUCAACUAGUUGUCGGGGAAGAAAUUCCUUGGUAACGAAGCUAACGCGUGAAGUUGACCGCCUGGGGAGUACGGCCGCAAGGUUAAAACUCAAAGGAAUUGACGGGGACCCGCACAAGCGGUGGAUUAUGUGGAUUAAUUCGAUGCAACGCGAAAAACCUUACCUACCCUUGACAUGCUAGGAAGCCCGCAGAGAUGUGGGUGUGCCCGAAAGGGAACCUAGACACAGGUGCUGCAUGGCUGUCGUCAGCUCGUGUCGUGAGAUGUUGGGUUAAGUCCCGCAACGAGCGCAACCCUUGCCAUUAGUUGCUACAUUCAGUUGGGCACUCUAAUGGGACCGCCGGUGACAAACCGGAGGAAGGUGGGGAUGACGUCAAGUCCUCAUGGCCCUUAUGGGUAGGGCUUCACGCGUAAUACAAUGGUCGGUACAGAGGGCUGCCAACCCGCAAGGGGGAGCUGAUCCCAGAAAGCCGAUCGUAGUCCGGAUUGUAGUUUGCAACUCGACUGCAUGAAGCCGGAAUCGCUAGUAAUCGCGGAUCAGCAUGUCGCGGUGAAUACGUUCCCGGGUCUUGUACACACCGCCCGUCACACCAUGGGAGUGGGUUCCACCAGAAGUAGUUAGCCUAACCGCAAGGAGGGCGAUUACCACGGUGAGAUUCAUGACUGGGGUGAAGUCGUAACAAGGUA
rnacentral:rRNA from 1 species